rnacentral:rRNA from 1 species
GUGAACUCGAAGAGUAGGGCGGGACACGUGGUAUCCUGUCUGAAUAUGGGGGGACCAUCCUCCAAGGCUAAAUACUCCUGACUGACCGAUAGUGAACCAGUACCGUGAGGGAAAGGCGAAAAGAACCCCGGCGAGGGGAGUGAAAAAGAACCUGAAACCGUGUACGUACAAGCAGUGGGAGCACCUUCGGGUGUGACUGCGUACCUUUUGUAUAAUGGGUCAGCGACUUAUAUUCUGUAGCAAGGUUAACCGUAUAGGGGAGCCGCAGGGAAACCGAGUCUUAACUGGGCGUUAAGUUGCAGGGUAUAGACCCGAAACCCGGUGAUCUAGCCAUGGGCAGGUUGAAGGUUGGGUAACACUAACUGGAGGACCGAACCGACUAAUGUUGAAAAAUUAGCGGAUGACUUGUGGCUGGGGGUGAAAGGCCAAUCAAACCGGGAGAUAGCUGGUUCUCCCCGAAAGCUAUUUAGGUAGCGCCUCGUGAACUCAUCUUCGGGGGUAGAGCACUGUUUCGGCUAGGGGGUCAUCCCGACUUACCAACCCGAUGCAAACUACGAAUACCGAAGAAUGUUAUCACGGGAGACACACGGCGGGUGCUAACGUCCGUCGUGAAGAGGGAAACAACCCAGACCGCCAGCUAAGGUCCCAAAGUCAUGGUUAAGUGGGAAACGAUGUGGGAAGGCACAGACAGCCAGGAUGUUGGCUUAGAAGCAGCCAUCAUUUAAAGAAAGCGUAAUAGCUCACUGGUCGAGUCGGCCUGCGCGGAAGAUGUAACGGGGCUAAACCAUGCACCGAAGCUGCGGCAGCGACACUAUGUGUUGUUGGGUAGGGGAGCGUUCUGUAAGCCUGCGAAGGUGUGCUGUGAGGCAUGCUGGAGGUAUCAGAAGUGCGAAUGCUGACAUAAGUAACGAUAAAGCGGGUGAAAAGCCCGCUCGCCGGAAGACCAAGGGUUCCUGUCCAACGUUAAUCGGGGCAGGGUGAGUCGACCCCUAAGGCGAGGCCGAAAGGCGUAGUCGAUGGGAAACAGGUUAAUAUUCCUGUACUUGGUGUUACUGCGAAGGGGGGACGGAGAAGGCUAUGUUAGCCGGGCGACGGUUGUCCCGGUUUAAGCAUGUAGGCUGNAAAUCGUACCCCAAACCGACACAGGUGGUCAGGUAGAGAAUACCAAGGCGCUUGAGAGAACUCGGGUGAAGGAACUAGGCAAAAUGGUGCCGUAACUUCGGGAGAAGGCACGCUGGUGUGUAGGUGAAGUCCCUGCGGAUGGAGCUGAGACCAGUCGAAGAUACCAGCUGGCUGCAACUGUUUAUUAAAAACACAGCACUGUGCAAACACGAAAGUGGACGUAUACGGUGUGACGCCUGCCCGGUGCCGGAAGGUUAAUUGAUGGGGUUAUCCGUAAGGAGAAGCUCUUGAUCGAAGCCCCGGUAAACGGCGGCCGUAACUAUAACGGUCCUAAGGUAGCGAAAUUCCUUGUCGGGUAAGUUCCGACCUGCACGAAUGGCGUAAUGAUGGCCAGGCUGUCUCCACCCGAGACUCAGUGAAAUUGAACUCGCUGUGAAGAUGCAGUGUACCCGCGGCAAGACGGAAAGACCCCGUGAACCUUUACUAUAGCUUGACACUGAACAUUGAGCCUUGAUGUGUAGGAUAGGUGGGAGGCUUUGAAGCGUGGACGCCAGUCUGCGUGGAGCCAACCUUGAAAUACCACCCUUUAAUGUUUGAUGUUCUAACGUUGGCCCCUGACCGGGGUUGCGGACAGUGUCUGGUGGGUAGUUUGACUGGGGCGGUCUCCUCCCAAAGCGUAACGGAGGAGCACGAAGGUUAGCUAAUCCUGGUCGGACAUCAGGAGGUUAGUGCAAUGGCAUAAGCUAGCUUGACUGCGAGCGUGACGGCGCGAGCAGGUGCGAAAGCAGGUCAUAGUGAUCCGGUGGUUCUGAAUGGAAGGGCCAUCGCUCAACGGAUAAAAGGUACUCCGGGGAUAACAGGCUGAUACCGCCCAAGAGUUCAUAUCGACGGCGGUGUUUGGCACCUCGAUGUCGGCUCAUCACAUCCUGGGGCUGAAGUAGGUCCCAAGGGUAUGGCUGUUCGCCAUUUAAAGUGGUACGCGAGCUGGGUUUAGAACGUCGUGAGACAGUUCGGUCCCUAUCUGCCGUGGGCGCUGGAGAAUUGAGGGGGGCUGCUCCUAGUACGAGAGGACCGGAGUGGACGCAUCACUGGUGUUCGGGUUGUCAUGCCAAUGGCACUGCCCGGUAGCUAAAUGCGGAAGAGAUAAGUGCUGAAAGCAUCUAAGCACGAAACUUGCCCCGAGAUGAGUUCUCCCUGAGACUUUAAGUCUCCUGAAGGAACGUUNGACGUUGAUAGGCCGGGUGUGUAAGCGCAGCGAUGCGUUGAGCUAACCGGUACUAAUGAACCGUGAGGCUUAACCUU